rnacentral:tRNA from 2 species
GGUAUAGUACUUUAAUAAAAAAGGAUUGAUUUGCAUUCAGUUAUUGGGCUUGUGCUCUUAUACUU